CUACGGGCGGCAGCAGUGGGGAAUAUUGCACAAUGGGCGCAAGCCUGAUGCAGCCAUGCCGCGUGUAUGAAGAAGGCCUUCGGGUUGUAAAGUACUUUCAGCGGGGAGGAAGGGAGUAAAGUUAAUACCUUUGCUCAUUGACGUUACCCGCAGAAGAAGCACCGGCUAACUCCGUGCCAGCAGCCGCGGUAAUACGGAGGGUGCAAGCGUUAAUCGGAAUUACUGGGCGUAAAGCGCACGCAGGCGGUUUGUUAAGUCAGAUGUGAAAUCCCCGGUCUCAACCUGGGAAUUGCAUCUGAUACUGGCAAGCUUGAGUCUCGUAGAGGGGGGUAGAAUUCCAGGUGUAGCGGUGAAAUGCGUAGAGAUCUGGAGGAAUACCGGUGGCGAAGGUGGCCCCCUGGACGAAGACUGACGCUCAGGUGCGAAAGCGUGGGGAGCAAACAGGAUUAGAUACCCCCGUAGUC
rnacentral:rRNA from 1 species